UUUUAGUUCAUAAGUCUUACAAUGUUCGCUUUGAAAACAUUAAAAUAUAAAUCCUUUAUAUUUCAAUAUAUACUCGUGAAGUCCUUAAUAUUCAUUGUCCUCUAAAUAUAAUACAAUAAAAGUUAUUAAGCUUUUCAAAACGUCCGCACCAUAAAAACUAAUUUGUCUGGCCGUGUCUUUUCACGAACGCCACCAUUGAAGGGUUGAAUAUUUUUGAACUUGCGUUCGAGUUCAAUCAGGUCAGUCCACCACCCGUCUGCCGGCAGAGUGCACCGUCCGCGUGCGAUUUGUGACGACGAUAAAUUGUGAUAGCAAGCAGAUAAUCUGGACUUUGUACGGUAAGUGUCCUAAUUUAUAUGUCCUGCCCUACAUGCUUGCUGAUGAUACUUCUGUUUCGUUACUUAACCACAUACGUGAUCACACUGUAUUCUACCUUUUUCCAUAACAAGGUAGAUGAUUAAGUUCACAAUUUAAUUAAUAAUUUAUUGUUUUUAUGUAAAAACUCAUUUAUCUGCCACUCAUUUGUCUGUUUUUAUCUGGUACAUAAUGCCAGAUGAAUUUGUUGAUGCCAGACCAAUUAUAAUUAAAGACUUAUGUCUACGCUAGGCUGGUUUGGACACGUACUCAGGCGUACUGAAAACGUCCCAAAGGAAGCACUGACAUGGCAUCUCGAAGGCGGUAAACGAAGACUCGGCAGACCGCGAGUCGAAACAUGGCAGCACUCUGUCAAAAAGGAAAUAUGCCAGGAUAGCGAUGACCGGCCACUAUCACCUUCUAUUUUAGCACCAAGAAAAAGAAAAGCCAAAGAAACAAAAAGAGAUGAAGCUAGUGGCAGUGGUGGGUUGCGAAAAACAAAUGCUUCGAAUAUGGAUAAUGAAAAUACUUCCCUCUCUAACUGUUCGUGUAUUCGAAAUGAAAAAGCACUUACAUUUAGAUUUUUGAUAAACAGCGUA